UUCUGAUUAUCUUCGUACCUG
ensembl:piRNA 21ur-12940 ncRNA